GUAAUGCGUAGGAAGCUGCCCGAUAGAGGGGGAUACCAGUUGGAAACGACUGUUAAUACCGCAUAAUGUCUACGGACCAAAGUGUGGGACCUUCGGGCCACAUGCUAUCGGAUGCGCCUACGUGGGAUUAGCUAGUUGGUGAGGUAAUGGCUCACCAAGGCGACGAUCUCUAGCUGGUUUGAGAGGAUGAUCAGCCACACUGGAACUGAGACACGGUCCAGACUCCUACGGGAGGCAGCAGUGGGGAAUAUUGGACAAUGGGCGCAAGCCUGAUCCAGCCAUGCCGCGUGUGUGAAGAAGGCCUUCGGGUUGUAAAGCACUUUCAGCGAGGAGGAAGGGAUGUAUGUUAAUAGCAUGCAUUUUUGACGUUACUCGCAGAAGAAGCACCGGCUAACUUUGUGCCAGCAGCCGCGGUAAUACAGAGGGUGCAAGCGUUGAUCGGAAUUACUGGGCGUAAAGCGCACGUAGGCGGUUUGUUAAGUUGGAUGUGAAAGCCCCGGGCUCAACCUGGGAAUUGCAUUCAAAACUGGCCAACUAGAGUAUGUGAGAGGGGGGUAGAAUUCCAAGUGUAGCGGUGAAAUGCGUAGAGAUUUGGAGGAAUACCAGUGGCGAAGGCGGCCCCCUGGCACAAUACUGACGCUGAGGUG
rnacentral:rRNA from 1 species